AUUCAAUGUCGAUGUUGGAUCCUUCGCCCGUGUUGACCUAGAGGAUUACCCAAAGCAAGAUAACCUAUGUGAUUGUGGCUUUUUCGGGCUCAAAUAUGUGGAGAACUUUGAUGGGAAGUCAAUGAAAGAGUUCAAUCAGGAAGACGUGGCGCGAUACCGCAUGGAUGUGGUGCACAACCUUUGCACUCACCCAAUGAACAAUGCCCCAAUGGAGCGGGCAUUCAAUGAAGAGUUGGCGGCUUAAUUUGCGGGAGGGUUCAAGACGAUCAAGCUCGUUUUCUUUCGUUAGGUCUAGAAUCAUGUCUGA